rnacentral:rRNA from 1 species
GAAGUCUAUCUUACGCGCGAGCCAAUGGGCCAGGUUGUUGGGGCGCUUGCGCCCCAGUAUACCGCGAGAGAGAACCCCACAGGCGCAGACAACUCGAGACGGUUUCGUCGCGGGAUUACGGGGGCGCGCUUGGCGCAAGCCACGGACGCCUCCCUCCAUCCCAGGGUGCCCCGGUACGGGCUGGCGUGCGGUCACACGUGCGCCACCCAGCGGGCAUCCCCCGAGUGCGUAGGAUGCGACCCGAAAGAUGGUGAACUAUGCCUGAUCAGGUUGAAGUCAGGGGAAACCCUGAUGGAGGACCGAAGCAAUUCUGACGUGCAAAUCGAUUGUCAGAAUUGGGCAUAGGGGCGAAAGACCAAUCGAACCAUCUAGUAGCUGGUCCUUUUUCCGAA